GACGAACGCUGGCGGCGUGCUUAACACAUGCAAGUCGAACGGAAAGGCCCUGCUUUUGUGGGGUGCUCGAGUGGCGAACGGGUGAGUAACACGUGAGUAACCUGCCCUUGACUUUGGGAUAACUUCAGGAAACUGGGGCUAAUACCGGAUAGGAGCUCCUGCUGCAUGGUGGGGGUUGGAAAGUUUCGGCGGUUGGGGAUGGACGCGCGGCUUAUCAGCUUGUUGGUGGGGUAGUGGCUUACCAAGGCUUUGACGGGUAGCCGGCCUGAGAGGGUGACCGGCCACAUUGGGACUGAGAUACGGACCAGACUCCUACGGGAGGCAGCAGUGGGGAAUAUUGCACAAUGGGCGGAAGCCUGAUGCAGAAACGCCGCGUGCGGGAUGACGGCCUUCGGGUUGUAAACCGCUUUCGCCUGUGACGAAGCGUGAGUGACGGUAAUGGGUAAAGAAGCACCGGCUAACUACGUG
rnacentral:rRNA from 1 species